rnacentral:rRNA from 1 species
GUGGGGAAUUUUGGACAAUGGGCGCAAGCCUGAUCCAGCAAUGCCGCGUGCAGGAAGAAGGCCUUCGGGUUGUAAACUGCUUUUGUACGGAACGAAACGGCUCUGGUUAAUACCCUGGACUAAUGACGGUACCGUAAGAAUAAGCACCGGCUAACUACGUGCCAGCAGCCGCGGUAAUACGUAGGGUGCAAGCGUUAAUCGGAAUUACUGGGCGUAAAGCGUGCGCAGGCGGUUUUGUAAGACAGGCGUGAAAUCCCCGGGCUCAACCUGGGAAUGGCGCUGGUGACUGCAAGGCUGGAGUGCGGCAGAGGGGGAUGGAAUUCCGCGUGUAGCAGUGAAAUGCGUAGAUAUGCGGAGGAACACCGAUGGCGAAGGCAAUCCCCUGGGCCUGCACUGACGCUCAUGCACGAAAGCGUGGGGAGCAAACAGGAUUAGAUACCCGGGUAGUCC